rnacentral:rRNA from 1 species
UACGUAGGGCGCAAGCGUUAUCCGGAAUUAUUGGGCGUAAAGAGCUCGUAGGCGGUGUGUCGCGUCGGCCGUGAAACCUGGGGCUCAAACUCUGGGCGUGCGGUCGAUACGGGCAUCACUUGAGUUCGGCAGGGGAGACUGGGAAUUCCUGGUGUAGCGGUGAAAUGCGCAGAUAUCAGGAGGAACACCGGUGGCGAAGGCGG